GACGUCGAUAUUCGACGUCAUAAACACGGUCACCUUUGGUGUUUAUGGCGUCGAUAUUCGACGUCAUAAACACGAUAAACUUAGAUGUUUAUGACGUCGAUAUUCGACGUCAUAAACACGAUCAACUUUGGUGUUUAUGACGUCGAUAUUCGACGUC
rnacentral:miRNA from 1 species